GAGUUUGAUCCUGGCUCAGAUUGAACGCUGGCGGUAUGCUUAACACAUGCAAGUCGAACGGUAACAGGAGAGAGCUUGCUCUUUUGCUGACGAGUGGCGGACGGGUGAGUAAUGCGUAGGAAUCUGCCUAGUAGUGGGGGACAACGUGUGGAAACGCACGCUAAUACCGCAUACGCCCUACGGGGGAAAGCGGGGAUCUUCGGACCUCGCGCUAUUAGAUGAGCCUACGUUAGAUUAGCUAGUUGGUGGGGUAAAGGCCUACCAAGGCGACGAUCUAUAGCUGGUCUGAGAGGAUGAUCAGCCACACUGGGACUGAGACACGGCCCAGACUCCUACGGGAGGCAGCAGUGGGGAAUAUUGGACAAUGGGCGAAAGCCUGAUCCAGCAAUACCGCGUGUGUGAAGAAGCCUGAGGGUUGUAAAGCACUUUCAAUUGUGAAGAAAUAUUUAAGG
rnacentral:rRNA from 1 species